AGUCGUAACAAGGUUUCCGUAGGUGAACCUGCGGAAGGAUCAUUGUCGUGACCCUGACCAAAACAGACCGCGCACGAGUUAUCUAGCCCCGCUGGGCGGCGGCAUCGUCCGUCGCUUGGCAAAAGUCCUCGACAACCUCAUCUUUUCGGAGUUGGGGCUCGGGGUAAAAGAACCCACGGCGCCGUAGGCGUCAAGGAACACUGUGCCUAACGAGGGGAUGUGGCUGGCUUGCUAGCCGCACCCCGAGUUGCAAUUCUAUAUAAUCCACACGACUCUCGGCAACGGAUAUCUCGGCUCUC
rnacentral:misc_RNA from 1 species